UUAAUACCGGAUAGAUCAAAGAAACUGGAAUGUUCUCUGGUCGAAAACUCUGGUGCCCAAGGAUGGGUCUGCGGCCUAUCAGGUAGUAGUGGGUGUAACGUACCUACUAGCCUACGACGGGUAAGGGUUGUGAGAGCAAAGUCCCUGAGAUGGAUUCUGAGACAUGAAUCCAGGCCCUACGGGGUGCAGCAGGCGCGAAAACUUUACACUGCGGGAAACCGCGAUAAGGGGACCCCGAGUGCCAGCACCUAGUGCUGGCUGUCCAGCUGUCCAAAUAACAGUUGUUAGCAAGGGCCGGGUAAGACCGGUGCCAGCCGCCGCGGUAACACCGGCGGCCCGAGUGGUAGCCGUUAUUAUUGGGUUUAAAGGGUCCGUAGCCGGCCUAUUAAGUCUCUUGGGAAAUCUGGCGGCUCAAUCGUCAGGCGUUCA
rnacentral:rRNA from 1 species